CGGGUGUCCCCCCAUCCCCAUCCCCAUCCUGGGCUGGAGCCCGGCCCGCAUCCCGCUCCUCGGGAAGGGUCAGAGGGCAGGAGAAGGGGUUUAGGGAAGGGCCAGACGAUGCAGCCGGUGGGAGGAGGGAUUCGAUCCAGGCUGGGAAAACCUCGGGGGUGGAGCGGGCCAGCCCUUCAGAGCAGCCCUUCUGUGCCCGGCUUUGUUUGACAAAUUAAACAUCUGCCAUUAAAACCCCCCCAGAUUUGGGAUCCAGAGCGGCUCCACAGCCCUGUCUGCGCGGGCAGCGUCCACAAGCAGAGCCUUUGCUGGCCGAGUGCCACAGCCUGCCCUGGUGUCACACCAAACCCAUGGAACGCUCCAGGCGGGGGGACGGAGGGGCUGGAAAGCUGGGGUGCUGUGGCAGUGGCUGGGCAUGAGCCCAGCUGGGGAAGGAGGCCAAGGGCACCUGGCUUGGUUCAAAACCAGUGUGGCCACAGGAGCAGGGCAGUGACAGUCCCCUCUGCUGGGGAGGAUCCUCAGAUCAGGGGGUCGGUUCUGGGACCCUCACGAAAAGAAGGGCAUUGAGGGGCUGGAGCGUGUCCAGAGAAGGGAACGGGGCUGGAGCACAAGGAGAAGGGACUGGAGAACUCCUGGGGGAGCUGGGGCGGCUCAACCUGGAGAAAAGGAGGCUCAGGGGGCACCGGAGGAGCACCCGUCUG